ACCAGAUUGUGCCACAUCAGGCUUAGCAACCUUUCAUACGUUGUUGUUCAUGUUAUGAAAACGACUCAAACAUGACGUUGUUUACACUUAUAUCGAGUAGUUUUGUAAAAACUUAUUUCUAUAUUCUUGUCUUUUCAUUAUUCGGACGCAAUCUGCACAGUCACUUCUUCCAGUCCCCGCUGUCACACAACCAGGAGGUCAGCUGUUUUGGGGAGGGAGGUGACGGAGACACGGGAGACAACUGGGUGGUUGUCUGCUCAGGCGAUCACUGGGAGCGGAACGAGCCGAUCAGGCUGCGGCACCAGGACACAGACGCCUACCUGCACCUCACGGGCGACUCGUACGGACGCCCGAUCCACGGACAGAAGGAGGUGAGCGGCUACGCGAGCCCGCACCCGGGCAACUACUGGCGCACGCAGGAGGGAGUCUACAUGAUGCCGAAGAGAACCGACGUCGUAUGAGACGACGGCCACGUGGCUAGCCUGCGUGCAGUGCUAGCAGGACUGCUAGGUUAGCACGCGUAGACUAGCCUGCAUGGCUAGUCUGCAGUGCUAGCAGGACUGCUAGGUUAGCACGCGUAGACUAGCCUGCAUGGCUAGUCUGCAGUGCUAGCAGGAAUGCUAGGUUAGCAUGCGUAGACUAGCCUGCAUGGCUAGCCUGCAGUACUAGCAGGACUGCUAGAACUGCGGUGCUUGCGUGCUAGCAUUGCAGUGGGAGUCGGACUGGGGUGCAUUCUGUGAUCACAAACUACCGGAUGCUUCUUUCUAAACUUGCCCGAACAGUUAGAUCAAGAAGAAAACCAAUGUACAAACAGGGCAAACGUAUCCUGUCAAUUAGGAAAGUGUUCUGUGUGUCAGCGUUGGUUCACAAAUGGGGGUAGGGUUUUGUUUACUUAAUAGUGCACGAGAAAAUUUGGUCCAUUUUGAUACUUCAACACUAUCAUUCCGUACAAGAUUGGUCGAAUAUUGUGACAUGCACACCAAAACUUGUUUACGCGAGAUUAAAUAGUAUAAUUUUACGAAAUCGGUCUGAUUCAAAACCAGAAUAGUACAACUUGUGUCAUCACUGCGAGGGGCAGCACAAGAAGUGUUAUCAAUUGUUAGCAAUAAAUGUCCAAUGGCUGUCUUUAAAAUCAAGUUUUUAUUUCUUUCUGAAGAAUAUUUAACAACAAAAUUAGGUUUAAUAAUUUGAACAUAAUUACAACUCGAUUCAACCAAGAAGACGGCUUACGACCAGGUGUGUGUUAACCUUUAAGUUAAUUUUCUUCAUGCCAGUUCCAAAAUUGGUUUGACUGUCGCAUGUCAGUCUGUAUGUACGUACGUAUACAUAUGAAAAAGAAAGGUAUGUUGUACUAGUUAUUGGUGGUAUAAUCAAUAUAUCACAGGUGCCUCUGUUUUUAUUGAGGUUACAUUAUGUGUAUCACAGAACCUUUGUGAAGAGGGCAGUUUGAGAUAUUUUGGAGUUUCAUAGCUUUGGGAGUAACGGCAUCAUAUUUUAACUUUGUCAGUGCAAUUUUCACUUGUGUCUGCUUCUUGUAAUCCGUGUGCGUGUUGAUAACUUUUUAAUAAAUGUUGGACAAAUGUCAAAAUAGACAUUGUUGACCACAAACUAGAAA
rnacentral:misc_RNA from 1 species